rnacentral:pre_miRNA from 2 species
CUCAAUAAAUGUCUGUUGAAUUGAAAUGCGUUACAUUCAACGGGUAUUUAUUGAGCA